UGAGGAAUAUUGGUCAAUGGACGUAAGUCUGAACCAGCCAAGUAGCGUGCAGGAUGACGGCCCUAUGGGUUGUAAACUGCUUUUAUGCGGGGAUAAAGUGAGGGAUGCAUCCCUUUUUGUAGGUACCGCAUGAAUAAGGACCGGCUAAUUCCGUGCCAGCAGCCGCGGUAAUACGGAAGGUCCGGGCGUUAUCCGGAUUUAUUGGGUUUAAAGGGAGCGUAGGCCGCCUUUUAAGCGUGUUGUGAAAUGCAGUCGCUCAACGUCUGCACUGCAGCGCGAACUGGAGGGCUUGAGUGCACGGGAAGCUGGCGGAAUUCGUCGUGUAGCGGUGAAAUGCUUAGAUAUGACGAAGACCCGAUUGCGAAGGCAGCUGGCUGUAGUGCCACUGACGCUGAAGCU
rnacentral:rRNA from 1 species